UGAAAAUAUCGGCAAGAUAUGUGAAAAUCCGAAUUACUGACUUAUAGCUAGCAUAUAAAUCCCUUACUAUUAUCCCUAGGAGUAUAACUGUAGCUGUCUGAGAUUAACUAAUGAGUUCCUAAUGAGAAUGGCAGUAUGUUUGUAAAACGGAAGCACUGAAAUUGAAUUUCUGUUGGUGAAUCAGCAUACAUACAAUAUCAAUUCAUUUGUUCACCUGGCACGCAGACUCGCUGUUCUCCCUGCCAAAGCGGGUCUCACUACUAAUGAACGCUCUGAUGCCAAUAAAGCCCUCUAAUUCACUCAUCUUUCUACCAGCAUCACUCUGGUGACUCAGUGACAUAAAGUAUGGAGAGACAGAGUUGCCCUGGAACUGCUGCAUUAUCCUGCCAUUUUCUUGGCCUAAAUUCGAUUUUCUUUGUUUUUUUUCUUAGCUUUUGUUAACUCGCUUUAUUUGUGUGAUUCCAUAAGAACACUAGAAUAAUAACAAUGAGUUUGAGGAUGCGUUUGUAUGAUUGGCACAAAACUAGCUCAAACUAUGCGAUCAUCUUUGUUUGCAGAAUUAAGUGUUCCUACUUGAAGAGUAAAAACAAAAAUCAUAUUCCACACCUCCUGCUGUUUCUAUCCUUUCAUGGUUUAUUAAAUGAAGAAUACAAUCAAAUACUAAUAGGAUUGAGGUGCUAUCUGAGAAUUUCCUCUCCCACCCCUCAGGCCUGAGGUUCCUGGAGUUGAGGUUUGCACAGGAAAGCAGUUACCAUAUUCACAUGUCUCCGUAAUUGAGAACACUGCUUGGCAGCCCAUAGUGGCCUCUUAGACAAAUGUGUCCAAUACUCCCUAAUUAGUUGGUGAGACAUCGGGCAAUCUAUACUUCGAAUGUGAUCUGAAUGAAAACCUCAAGAAACAGUAGGCCUCUCUGCCGUGGAUUUCGUCGUUUCUCGCUCAACAAUGAACAGAGGCUUUGUUCCACUGGAUUUGCUGUCGCUCCCUUCCUGCAAUAAUUAUCAGAACCUUUUAAUAAAUAAACUUGCUCACAGUGUCCUUCACGUACUGUACAGCACUUGCUUUCAGACAUUCCUUUACUAUAUGAAACGGCGACAUGGAGGCGAGCUUGCUAGAAUCGAAAAAUCGUUUAAUUGAAUCAACCUUUGCUCUGUUGUUCAUUCGAUUCAAUUUGGCAAUGACGCUCAUCUGAAGUGAUUUUUUUUUUGUCUUCUUUCACAGAGCAGAUAGGAGAAAAAUAGCUGGGCAAGUAAAUACGGUGGCCGGUUUCUUUUAUAGAAGAGUAGACUUUCCAUUAGCUGCAAUUUUUAUCAAUCAGUACCUUGGUUGUGGAGUGGAUCAAUGGUCUGUCGCUAUGGCAACCGGCACAAAGUGAUGGGUAAUUCCACAAGGUGAGGGGAAGGAUCCUGUGAGGUGGCAAAGACAGACAGGAUCGAUAAGGCCCAAGAUAAUGAGUGUGAAUGCUCAAUCCUGCCAGCCCUCAGUCCUGCCUCUCUCAGGAUAGCUGCUCCAAGCUGUCAAAUAAAGGUAGACAAAUAAAUGCAAAAGUGGAUCAAUUAAUUCAUGAUAUUUUCUUGUAUAUACCAUAGGUUUAUAGACAAAGGAGAUCCGCACUCAUCUAAAAAGGCUUAUCAUUUAUUACUCAGAGGUCACUAAAUAGUGCAAAAAGGUGCAAGAGUGCAAAACGCUUUCGGGUAUUAACCCUUGUGCUUGUGUAUAUACCAUAUACAUCUUAUAUAUCAGUCUCUUGUGCUCACCAAGGCUGCAUUAUAAUGGCUUUCUAUUUGAACAUUAUUUUAAUACAACUGUGUGAGUUUAUAUCGGUAAAUCCUGUUUGCUAGCAUUAGGAGGGAUGGAUGUACGUUUCAGGUUGAAAAACUUUUAGUUUUUUAAUCUUAAAAGUUUUUACUUUUGGCAUAGCAAAUGAGCCACAGAUCUCCUGACCUCUCCAGAUUAAUACGGUGUUUUCAGUCUAAUUACAAGCAACAAUGAAAGAAGAUUACAACUGGAAGAGGAAUGCUAGAAAUUCUCCCGUGUGAGGUUAAACCAAUGCGUUAAGCUGUUGCGGUGUGAUGCUUUUGCUUUUUACCCCAAUAGUGGUUUUAGUACAGGUUUGCUACCAAAGCGCCAUUUGGUUUGAUUGAACAUCACCUCAUGCUUGUACUGUAUAUCACAAGUUUACAGUUAAUAUAUUCACCACAGUACAUAUGUAUGACUGUAUCAUCAUUAUUCACUGGAUAAUGUUAAUACAACCCAUGCUUUCCUUUCCUUUUUCAACAUGGAGAUCACAUUAUUCAUAGGUUAAUGUUAAUAAAACCCAUGCUUUCCUUUUCUUUUUAAACAUGGAGAUCACACAUAGAGUCAUCCACCACAACUGGAGCCAUGUUGAGUCUUGCCUUUGUCUAUCUGGGUCAGAUGCCAGAAUUGUAACCUUAAAAAUUACAAUCAAACUACCUUAAGAAAACAAGAACGAGAGUUAAGAAGUCAAGACACAUGUUUUUCGCCAUCAUGACUGAAUUCACUACUCAUGUGUUUACUACUGAACUGUUGACGUAGUGUAUUAUAAAAGUAGCUUAAUUAGUUAAUUAGCAGUAAUCACCACUUGUAAUACUAGUUCUCAACCUGGGGACCGGGGCCCACUAGAGGGCCUCAGCAAACUUACAGGGGUGAGGGGCUGCAGGAUGAGUUGGAUGUAUUUUAAUUAAUAAAUUAUGCUUAAAUUGGUUCCAAGUUAAAAAAUAAAUAAAAAUAAAAUAAAAUAUGUAUCAAUAAAUAAUUAUAUUUACAAUUAAUUAAAUAAAUAAUUAAAUAAAUCUGUAUACUGCAAUCAUAUUUAUUUUUUCUCCUCCAUCUUACUAACUUACUGCUCUUCUUAUUGUUUUUAAUAUUGUUCUUAUUGAGUACCAUUUGUUUCAUGAAGCUUCUGGGAUAAAAAAAAAAAAAAGAAUCAUUGUUAAUUAAUGUAUCGAAACUCCCUAUAUCUGUAUGUAUGUAUAUAAUAUUAAAAAAAUGUUAGAAACAAUCAGCUUUGUGAUAUUUACAGCAAAAGACCUAAAGUAUCUUACUUAUCAUAUAACUGUUGAUUAUUAUGUUGUGUUGCACAAUCAAGAAGGUUGUGAGACUUACAAGGUUAUGUAAGCUAGUAAUAUUUGCAUAGUGAGUCUGCGAUCACUUUUCCUUGUUAAAAAAAACUGGAAUAAUUAAUGCGGUAGUGAGAUACUUGCUGUUUUGCAAUGUCAAGCCAACAAAAAUAACAGCAAUGCAAAAUAUGCUAAGUAAAUAUAAUUUUAUGGGUUCAGGAGGAAAACAUGAGGAAAAACUGAGUGUGCAUGUUUAAAGAUAUGUAAGGGAUGUGUGAUGCCAAAAUGCUACCGAUAAACAUCUUCACAGUGUGAAACAUUUCCUUGAUGUAUUGUAUUGUGGUCUAGGUAAUGUGCUGUAGCAGCGGAUGCAGUCGAUGUUAAUAAUAUGGAAGAAUCAUUUGGGAGCAAACAAUGUAGUUCCUCAAGGAUGUCUAAUGUUUAGACUGCAGUUUAGAAUGUGUAACAGAAAGGUUGUCUUCAAUGUUUAAGAGGUAAUUUCAGGUCAUCGAUGGUUGUGGCUUUCAGAGACGUGACCUCAGGGCUGCAAAACAUGAAUGUAGUAAACGAUAAAGAAUGCAGUUGAGAGCUUAUGUCUAAGCUACAUAAACGAGCCUGCCCCCAAAAUGAUUUCUGAAUUAGUCCGAAUCACGAUCAUGUCACCGCCUCAUUGUUAAAAUGCAUGAUUUUAAAUGGAUGCCAAGGAUAAAGCAAGCUGAGCAACGUGAUUUACCGCUGCACAAUGUUUAAAGUCAACAUGAGUUGGAUAGAGCCUCAUUAAUGUUUUGUAAUAUUUGUAUGAUUUGUCUCAGCCUGUUAGAAAAGGGGCUAUGCAUGACAUUAAAACAUGUUACAAUGGAGAAUUGUUAAAGGGAAAUGCUUAGUUGGGAUCACAUUUUGCACAAAGCUACUUAAAACGUGAUUAGACAAGAAGGCCUCAUUCACAGACGCAGUUAUAAUUGCAACAUGCUCAGGAUGGCUUGGCUGAGCUUUAAAAUCAUUGUGUUUUGAGGCUAAUUAGGGCUGCUUUAAACUUCAAUAUGACAUUUUCAGCUAGACUUUGUGAUCUUGAUGUGACUUUUUGAUCUUGUUGUUGUUGAAAAUAUUGUAUGCGGUAUGUCAUUUUGAUCUUUGGGGUUUUGACCAUGUGGAAACAGCUCAGCGAGACUCGACAUUAAAAUACAUGCUCUGACUUCGGUGGGAAUUUGAAGUCAUUAAAAUAACUUGUGAAAAGGAGCGGUGCGAAGCCCAUGAACUGAACGACUAACAAAAGAGGAUUUCAAGGGAAAUGUGUACAAGAAUUAGUCCUAAUUCUUGCUUACUGGUCACUAAUAAGAUUUGUUUCUAUUUCAUAAUCUUUUUGCCUAGCCACAUUUCCAUGGACCAGAGUGCAGGACCAAAUGCUCUAAACUGGAUGACCUCUCACCUCCACAGACGAAUGGAUUCUGAAGAACGUCAGUGUGGCAAUGAUGAUAUGAACAGACAGAAAAAAGAAUGUGAGGAUUAGGUGUCUCUCUCUUAGAUCUGCUGUCUGUCAUCGCCAGGUUAACUUCUUUAUGAAUCAGUCUCCCCAGGCUGUUUUCAGAGCAGAGAGGGGAGCAUGUAUAUUUAAGCUUGUGCCGCUUUUAUAAAGGAAACUUUUGCCGUGUUAACAAGGUCAGUUUCAUUACUUUGCAUUUUUGGAAUAUCUAGCCAACAGAAAGAUUUUUGCAAAUAGCAGGUGUCACACUGCCGCAGCCGUUAGGACAGCUAAAUGCCUUUUGAAUUUUCAAUGCAUUCAGAUUCCCACCACUGGGAAUGCUAGCACUGAGCAUGUCAGAUUAAUAAAUAUUUGACAAUAUGUUUUUUUUCUUAGUCAUGCCAAUAACUAUUUGUCAUCAAUGAAGCAGAAGAAACCAGGUCACAGGCAGUAGUAAAGAUGAUUUAUGACAAAGUAACAGUCGGUCCUGUUUUAAUGGUUCCUUGGCCUCACGCAAGACAAGAAAGCAUUGAUCUGGCUUUUACGACAAGUUAACCUCUCAGGAAUGAGUUUUAAUAGAUUUUGAAACAACUAUUAAUAGGAAAUAAAACAUUUAUGGCCACAGUAUUUUAUGCACAGAGCAAAAAUCAAUAGAUCUUUAAUGAAAUUAAGCUUGUGCAACUAUUAACAGCCGUUUCAGAGAUGGAUUAUUGUGGUUAGGAUUUGCCUGAGUGCUUACUCAUUCAAAUGUGAAAAAGGUUGCAAUGCCGUUUUGAAAUGACCCUGGUAUAAGAGAGAAAGAGGGAGCAAGAGAAUAGUCGGUAGCAGAUUGUUGCAUCUGGUGUUGGCCUCUCUUGUUACUAAAAUGCCAGUCCUCACGGUUGCUAUGCCGCUGUAUCAAAGUGGAGGAUGGCGCAUGGGAAGGAUUGUGGGAAUGUAAAGCUGCACAGCAAACAGAGGGUCACCCAGCCGGAUUCAAACAAACUCGUCUAGCACUCCUAUUCAGUCAAAAGUUCAAUCAGUCACCAUGGAUACCUUCUCUUCUAAUGAGCUACAAAUGUUUCAGUUGAUGUUGAUUGAAUUGUUUUACCAGCCAAGGAUGUUUAUUGGAGUCACUGGGAUUUGAACUGGCUGUGAUGGAUAAGCUUUUUCCAUUGUUCUUGGGUUUUUAGCAUUUGUAAUAUUAGAGAAGUUGCAGUGUAAGAAGAGGCAGUCUUUCUUUCAUUUUUUUCUUUUCUUUCUUUCUUUCUCUGUACAGAAAAGGCCUUGUUUUAAAGUCUAAUUACACUAAAAAAAAAAAAGUGUAGUAACCGUUUUCACUCAUAAAUUGUGAUUUCACCAAAAAAUAUUAAAAAACAAAAUAAUGGCAAGUAAAAAUUCUUGAUCUAGAAAGAUUAAAAUAGUAUUUCUUGUAAAACAUACACCAAUAAUCUUUAUUUGCAACCUCAAAGAAGUCACUGUGUGUGCAUUUUUUCAUACUUUGGUUAGUCAUAAAUAAGUUGAUCAUAUGUCCUCUACAUUUUCCAAGUGUUCCAAGUAUACAAAUACACUAUAUAAAAAAAAUAAUAAAAAAAUGUAAAAUAAUUGGAGUAUGCUUUACAAGAAAGUACUCUUUCAAUUUCAAAAAUUCACGCUUAAUGUGUUACUUGCUAUUUCUAAAUACUAAUUAUUUGUGAAAUUAACAGCAAUUUCUGAGUCAAAAUAGUUUCCUAGUUUUUUUUUUCAGGUAAAUCCUACACCAAAUUGUUUUCAGUGUAGUGUUUGUUUUAAAUAUGUUUGUGUCUUGGCAUGUGACCCCAUUUAAGGUCUUCAGUUUGUGUUGACAUCUACGUUUUGGUUCCAUCUUGGAAAUAUUAUCUGUAAAAAAAAAAAAACUAAAAAAAACUUUGUUAUUGAACAUUUAGUCAGACUUAGCCCUGUCAAAAACUGUUAAAAAUGACUCUGCUCAUUUAACCCAGAAUUCCUUCCUUGGUGGCUUGUCUGUCACCAAUUAUAUCUCUCUGUUUAUCCUUUGACAAGUUAAUUCACAUGCAUGUGGACCGACGGUGAAGGCUUGUGGAUCUUUCCCAUCACACUUAAAACACAGCCGACCACCCUCUCCUCUCUCAAGUAGGCUUUUCACAGAGGCUUUAGGAAACUGUUUAAGGUAUUUGCCCUUUUUUCAUCUAUUCAACUGCAGCAGGCAAAUCCUGGGAGGCAGAACCUGUUGAUAUCCCAUAAGGGGCUUAUAUGACUCAUCGUAGCCUAGAUGCAACAUGCUUGUUAUUUGAACAGCUGCAUCUCCACUCCACACUUUUAUCAGGCCCAUUGUGAUCCUGCCAUCCUGCGCUUUUCCUACUUGUUCGGAAAGCUCUUGACAAACCUACCAAGAAUUGGUCAUAGAACAGACGGCUAGACAGUUUUUUGGGUGGAGGCUCGGGGCUGAGGUGAUUGUGAUUCUCAUUGCGCUUCAGUUUUUCGAGAUGAAGAUCUGGUGUUGGUGGACUUCAUUUAGCAUUAUUCCACUAAAAAUCACUUGCACUAUUCAAGGUAAAUGAUCUGGUGUUUUUACAUUAUAAUUUUCAAAUGUACACAUCUGAAAUGUUUAUGUUGAAAGCCUGCAGCUUCUUACAAAGAACAGCUUUUUCUCUCUCUUUUUUUUUUUUUUUCCACAGGGCAGCUUGAUGGAUGAUGCGCACACACGUACCUCCUCACACCUCAUCUGGCCGAAUGCAUUCCUCAUGCAAUUAGUCCUUCUGAAGUUGCUUAUUAGUUGGAUCUCUUCUUUGUGGAUAAGUCCUUUCACUGAACUGUCACAGCUCCUGGACAAGCCUCUCCAAUCCACAGCCAUUUACAAAUGAAUGGGGCACCAUGCAAACCAAACAGAGCACAUCCUUUUCCUGCUCUUUCACAUCUUUGGUGAAAAGGAGGGGGAAAAACUCAAUUUGUAUUUGCGCAGACCAUAAACAAACAUCGGUCAGAUCAAAUGAGGCAUUCAGAGCCUGAAGAAAGGUCAGAGAGAAAGGGGAGGGAGAGAUAGAGGAGGGAUUGAAGGAGGUGCAGAAUGGAACUCUCCCAGUGCCAAUUCACAAGCUCUGGGCUUUUAUGAGGGUGUCAGUUCUGUUGUCAGACUGACGAUGUAGAGAAACAAGUCAAUGUGAGGGCGGAGGACAGCACACCUUCCUCAGGUACCUGCAAUGUGACUGUAAACUAACCAACACCUUUAGAGACAGCCGAGGCCACAGCCAAAUCACCUUUCCCGCAUGAAACCUAGAGCACCAGUGGUACUGCAAAGCUUUUUAUGACAGAGAGUUUCUUCAAAGAGAACUCAAUACAAGCCCUUCAGAUAACUUCAAGUUCUUCAAAAGAGCAUUAAAUUACAUGCACUGUUGAAGAGAUUACUAUGGCUAUAUAAAAUUAAGGAAAUCCUAAAUUGGCAAAAAAGAGAAAAAUAUAGAUUGGUAAAUCAUUAGCAUGGCAUAAAAAGUGUCUGUCUGUCUAUCUGCCUGUCUGUCUAUGUAUGUGUGUGUGUGUGUGUCUGUCUGUCUAUUUAUCUGUCUAUCUGCCUGUCUAUCUAUCUGUCAGUCUGUCUGUCUCUCUCUCUCUGCCUGUGUGUGUCUGUCUGUCUAUUUAUCUUUUUGUCUGUCUGUCUGUCUGUCUGUCUAUCUGCCUGUCUGUCUAUGUGUGUGUGUGUGUGUGUGUGUCUGUCUGUCUGUCUGCCUGUGUGUCUGUCUAUCUGUCUAUUUAUCUGUCUAUCUGCCUGUCUAUCUAUCUGUCAGUCUGUCUGUCUGUCUCUCUCUGCCUGUGUGUGUGUGUCUGUCUGUCUAUUUAUCUGUCUGUCUGUCUGUCUAUUUGUCAGUCCAUCCGUCAUUUUGAUUAUAUUAAUGUUCACAAUAUAGAAAAUUUCUGCUUUUAAUAAUUCUUAAACUAUUAAUCUUUCUAAUCUUAGAUAUAUUAAUCUAUUUAUCUUUGUUUUAAUUAAAAAAAAUAAAAAAUUUAAAUAUAGGAACAUUUUUGGCUUCAGAUCAAAAAUAAAUUCAUAGCUGACUAAAAACUACUUUUCCCAAAACUCUCAGCAGUGGAUGACAUCACUCUGCGUGUUUGUCUAAGUGCUUCAGUUGAAGCAGUCAGUCCAGCAGCCGAUGGCUGUCACAGUCUCCUGCCAAACACACUCCAUAUUCACAAUGCAGUUUAAUUAAUGACAUCACUAAAAGGUUUGGUGCAAUGAAGUUUGCAUCUAGUUCAAUUUCCUAAGUGCCUCUGUAUCCCUUUCUAAGCAACAGCAACACAGAGUGAGACAGAGCCAUCAAUAAUGCACCUCCAAAAGAGGAGGCCAGCUACAGCGAGCACCACCGAACUCAGGAGAGAGGAUUGUCAAAAUGAGAAGAUUCCUCACUUUGUACAGGAUCCAGAAUGUGCUGGAAGAGGACCAGCCAAGCUUGGGUGUGCACAGUGCAGUGAUUUAUAACCUUGAUUGUCAGCCAGACUGAUGUCUGAGGUCUUGUGAAGCCCUCAAGUGGCGAGGCCUCUCCAUCCCUCUGAUGAAGCACUUAGCCCACUUCUAUUUAUAGCAGCAAGAGCGGCACGAUCGAUUAUUCAACCUGACUCUGAUUCUGCCUUCUCAUGAACUGUUAUUCAAUAACCAUGGAUAAAAUUAGACAUUACCAUCCUGAGGGGACAAAUGGCACCGAGCGAGAGAGAGAUUGUAGAAUGUAUGGCUGUGAUUUAACAGGUCAAGAUUUCCUUGUCUCAAUAGGCCAAAGUUGACAAACUUCUGCAUCCUGCACAGCUGGACAGCAGUACCUGGAUGUGUAGCUAACGUGAAGCAGCACUUCCUCUAUUUCACCCUUCAUUGCAGAAACAGCCAAGAGAAAAGAAAAAAAGGCACAGACAGACAUAAAAGAGACUUGAGUUAACAGUUACCUCUGUUGCACCCAUGUCUAAUCAUGUCCAUUUAUUAAGUAUAAAAAUGCAAAUUUCCAUUGCCAAAAUGACAACUGCAUUGUCACCCAGCCAGUUUGUUUUCCUUUAAGCUAUCGUUGCAAUAAAUUUUAUUGGAACAACUGGGAUGAUUAACUUCUGAUAGUAUCCUAAUUGUAUCUCUCUGGCACCUCAUGUCUGGAUUAAUGCCAAGAGGAACGUCCAAUUCAUAAUUUUUAUUUGAAACGGGACAGCCACUAACUAUCUGCAUAUGGACUCUAGCUGUUGGGUCUGGACAGGCCACUAACAGGCUUAGCUUAAUGAGAAGCAGAUGAAUGUCAGUGACAAGGCUUAAGACCAGCACCUGUUAUCAGAGGUGCCCUUCAUGCCACACACAACAAAUGUCAUUUUUUGGAAUCUGGCACUAAUAAUCUUCAACUCUAUUAAUGUUAUGUUAAUAUAUGCAAGUCUGUCUAUUUAUGUAUUUUUAUUUUCAAAUAUUUUAUUUAAUAAUGUAAUUGUUUAUUUCGUUCUUGUUAUCAUAAUUAUUAGAGUUGUUAUUACUGACACUGAGUUCUAGCCUAUAAAUUAUGACUCAUAAACGUUUGAAACUCUGCAGUGGACAGUCAGUAAUCUGUGCACCUGCGAAGCGCAAUACACCAACAAGCCAGCAGAGGGACCCAAGGAAUCAAGAUAAAUAAAUAAUAAUAAUAAUAAUAAAUAUAGGAAUAACGUGAUUGAAUUUGUAAUUUGUAGUAGGCUAAAUAUGCACGUGAUAUGAACUCUCCAUGUAAUUAUGCAUAUAUGAGCGGUAACAGGAUCAGUGAACUUUCAGAAAAUAAGUUCAGGCUUUUUGUAUAAAUGGUUUAAUUCACA